rnacentral:rRNA from 1 species
AUACGGAAGGUCCGGGCGUUAUCCGGAUUUAUUGGGUUUAAAGGGAGCGCAGGCGGAGAUGCAAGCGUGACGUCAAAUUUCGGGGCUCAACCCCGUCUCGCGUCGCGAACUGCGUCCCUUGGUUGCGGGAAGGGGAGGCGGAACUCGUGGUGUAGCGGGGAAAUGCAUAGAUAUCACGAAGAACUCCGAUCGCGAAGGCAGCCUUCCGGCCCGUCAACGACGCUCAUGCUCGAAGGUGCGGGUAUCAAACAGGAUUAGAUACCCUGGUAGUCCGCACAGUAAACGAUGGACACCCGCGGUUUGGCCUGUAUGGCUGAGCCGCCAAGCGAAAGCGUUAAGUGUCCCACCUGGGGAGUACGCCGGCAACGGUGAAACUCAAAUGAAUGGACGGGG